CGCGCAGGCUGUCCUCCAAGUCAGUGGUGAAAGCCCGGAGUUCAACUCCGGAAUUGCCAUUGAAACUGUGGGACUGGAGUACGAGAGAGGGUGAGUGGAAUUCCCAGUGUAGAGGUGAAAUUCGUAGAUAUUGGGAAGAACACCGGUGGCGAAGGCGGCUCACUGGCUCGUAACUGACGCUCAGGCGCGACAGCGUGGGGAUCAAACAGGAUUAGAUACCCUGGUAGUCCACGCCGUAAACGAUGAAUGCUAGCCGUUGGAUAGCUUGCUAUUCAGUGGCGCAGCUAACGCAUUAAGCAUUCCGCCUGGGGAGUACGGCCGCAAGGUUGAA
rnacentral:rRNA from 1 species